rnacentral:rRNA from 1 species
AUGGGAUUAGCUAGUAGGUGGGGUAACGGCUCACCUAGGCGACAUCCCUAGCUGGUCUGAGAGGAUGACCAGCCACACUGGAACUGAGACACGGUCCAGACUCCUACGGGAGGCAGCAGUGGGGAAUAUUGCACAAUGGGCGCAAGCCUGAUGCAGCCAUGCCGCGUGUAUGAAGAAGGCCUUCGGGUUGUAAAGUACUUUCAGCGGGGAGGAAGGUGUUGUGGUUAAUAACCGCAGCAAUUGACGUUACCCGCACAAGAAGCACCGGCUAACUCCGUGCCAGCAGCCSCGGUAAUACGGAGGGU